AGAACUCGGGUGAAGGAACUAGGCAAAAUGGUGCCGUAACUUCGGGAGAAGGCACGCUGGCGGUAGGUAAAGUCCCUCGCGGACAGAGCUGAAGCCAGUCGAAGAUACCAGCUGGCUGCAACUGUUUAUUAAAAACACAGCACUGUGCAAACACGAAAGUGGACGUAUACGGUGUGACGCCUGCCCGGUGCUGGAAGGUUAAUUGAUGGGGUCAGCCGCAAGGCGAAGCUCCUGAUCGAAGCCCCAGUAAACGGCGGCCGUAACUAUAACGGUCCUAAGGUAGCGAAAUUCCUUGU
rnacentral:rRNA from 1 species